rnacentral:rRNA from 1 species
GAUGAACGCUAGCGGCAGGCUUAACACAUGCAAGUCGAGGGGUAUUAGUUUUCGGACUAAGAGACCGGCGCACGGGUGCGUAACGCGUAUGCAAUCUGCCUUUCACAGAGGGAUAGCCCAGAGAAAUUUGGAUUAAUACCUCAUAGUAUUAGAGACUGGCAUCGGUUUAUAAUUAAAGUAACAACGGUGAAAGAUUAGCAUGCGUCCCAUUAGCUAGUUGGUAAGGUAACGGCUUACCAAGGCGACGAUGGGUAGGGGUCCUGAGAGGGAGAUCCCCCACACUGGUACUGAGACACUGCCCAGACUCCUACGGGAGGCUGCAGUCGAGAAUAUUUAGCAAUGGGCGAAAGCCUGACUAUGCGACGCCGCGUGAGGGAUGAAGGUUUUCGGAUCGUAAACCUCUUUUGACAGGGAAGAAACUUCCGCCGUGAAUAAUGGCGGAACUGACGGUACCUGUUGAAUAAGCCACGGCUAACUCCGUGCCAGCAGCCGCCGUAACAC